rnacentral:lncRNA from 1 species
UGGAUCUCAUCACUGAUCAGCAGGGUUUGCUUCCACUCUGAUUGUAUAAAAGAGCUUGAGAAGAUCUCUUCUGUAAGUGAAAAACUCUGAACCUGUGUGGGGAAAGGAUACCUAUGGAAAACUGAAGAGGCAGCAGGUAAGCCCUUGCUUUUCAUCCCCUGACUGCAGUCAAGUUCUGGAUGGCCUGCUUUUUUCUCUAUGGCAUUUAGUUACUCACCUGCUGGCUGAAGCUGGUUUGGUUACUUAUCUGGUGGUUUUCCUUCUGCUGUUUAAGGUUUUUCACCUGUGGACGUUUUUCAAGUGAAGCUGAUGAGGCUUUAAACUGAAGGAAGCUUAAGUGAAGCUGUAGAAAGGCUGAAGAAAACUGAUGCUAAAGUUAAAACUGAAGCUGAGCUAAAGCCUUGAGGAAAGCUGGAGUGAAGGCUGAGGAAAAGCCAAAGGAAAACUAAAAAACAAAGGGAAAUGUCAAAGAAAAUAUCAAAGUUAAAAAAACAGGCACAAAGAAGAAAAGAAAUCUCAAGAACUCGAAGAGGAAAGUACAAGUUCAACUUGAAAAUUCAAAAACCACACCCGAAACAAAACUACAACAGUAGACCACUACUUAUAGCAAAAACUGACAUCACUAUUACAACAGAAAAAAUAAAGAAAAAUCUGAGUGAAAUCCUUCUCCAUCUCUUUAUUCAAAGUGAAGCGGUGAAACUCAAUCGGCCAUAGUGCAACAGGACUGCUUUAAUAAGCAGGAAGAGGAAACUAACACCUACCAGACAAGAGUCAAAUCAGUUUUUGACACGAAACACAACAAUCACCUUCUGUCAUGACGAAGCGGAGGUCAGUUUUUUUCACGAGAACUUCUAUGGAAACAGGAAGAUAAAGACGAGGAUGCAGUGAUGCUACGAUCACUCCUCUUCACCACAUCACAGCAGAAGGUUGAAGAUCAGACUGAAGCUGGAGAGAAGACCUCCUACAGGUGAGUCUCUGCCUUUUUUUAAACAAUUAAAUAUAAUAAAUAAAUAAACAGUCAAACAGUUAAACUAACAGUUUUUAUCAAAUGAGAAUUAACCAGCAACA